rnacentral:rRNA from 1 species
UAGGGAAUCUUCCACAAUGGACGAAAGUCUGAUGGAGCAACGCCGCGUGAGUGAAGAAGGGUUUCGGCUCGUAAAACUCUGUUGUUAAAGAAGAACAUAUCUGAGAGUAACUGUUCAGGUAUUGACGGUAUUUAACCAGAAAGCCNCGGCUAACUACGUGCCGG